rnacentral:rRNA from 1 species
UACGGAGGGUGCAAGCGUUAUCCGGAUUCACUGGGUUUAAAGGGUGCGUAGGCGGGCAAGUAAGUCCGUGGUGAAAUCUCUGAGCUUAACUCAGAAACUGCCGUGGAUACUAUUUGCCUUGAAUAUUGUGGAGGUGAGCGGAAUAUGUCAUGUAGCGGUGAAAUGCUUAGAUAUGACAUAGAACACCAAUUGCGAAGGCAGCUCACUACACAAUCAUUGACGCUGAGGCACGAAAGCGUGGGGAUCAAACAGG